UCUCACAGGCUGUUUGUCCUGUUUUUCAGCUCUACAGUUUCACAACUCAUCAGCAGCCUUCUGUUAAAGGAUGCAAUAAACCCCUCAGUCUCUCCAGGUCUCACUGGGCAUGAGACACGGAACACAUCUGGUUUGGGAUGUCGGUUUACCAGGAGGAGCUGAGAUCCACCGAUCCACAACAAAUGACUAAAAAUGAGUGAGUAAUCCACCAUCCGGUGUGCUUUCAGGAGUCGAAGGGAAUCUGGAAAAUCCAAAAAUGAUAAAAAGGAGACGUCUCAGAAACCUCAGGAUGAGGAAGAGGAGUUAAUGAUGCAGACAAAAACAUGCAGAAAUGAAUCCUGGAUAACGCUCGGAGGUGGAGAUCAGAGCAGCGCAGAUCAUUCACAUAUCUGUUCCUCAAAUCCCUUCUUUUAGAUCAAAUCCCAACAUCGAAAAAUGUCAUUUAAUGUUUUUGCACCGAAAUUUUUAAUAAAAUGAUUUCCGAUGA